AAGAGCACGUUGCAAAAUAUCUUUUUAAUUUACAUGCACUUGAAGGCUGAAUUCAACUAUUCUCACGCUAUUCAAGGAUUACUUGAAUUUCAGUUCAGAUUCAGAUGUCUCAGGACUGUCUUUGAUAAUAUCACAAGAACUUCAAACCCUACAGAAAUUUGCCAGAAUUUGGACUGUCUCAAAACAUGGACUGCCAAAGUUGUACUACAGAAUUUAGUCUCCUAAAGGGGAUCAGAUUCUGGAAGAUCUUUCCAAAAGAAGCUGUGGAGUCUACUGCAGAUACUCAAAAUCUUGAAGAGCUCCCUCUGCUUUAAACAGUGACAGUCCACAGUGAUACAAUGAAGACAGAGGAGUAAGAUUUAUCAACAGAGAGGAUCUCAGAAGAUUGGGAUUCACUUGAGGAAACACAUUUUGCUUCCAUCUAUAACAUGAGAGAUUUCCCACCUUACAUUUGCUCUCCAUUGUCCUUUGAGGUUGUGACUCACUGAAGCCGAUCUUUAAGUACAGGAUUUAUUCAGUGCAAGUGAUGGACUGAACUCUGUCAGAGGGCAAAAGAAAACUACCUGCAGGGAGCCAUGGCCAAAUGAGAUGGACCUUCACUGUGCUGUUUCUUCAGUACUCAGUGGUAUGCCCCUUUUUCAUGCAUCUUUGUGCCAGAAAAUGAUGAAUCUUGGGAUACCUUCAGUUUAUUCCAGAGCUGAAAUGCUCCAAAACGGAAAAACAAUUUGACCUGAGCUCUCACUGCUGCUCCAGGGAAGUCUGCAAAAUUAUUUGAAU
ensembl:lncRNA